rnacentral:rRNA from 1 species
GAUGAACGCUAGCGGCAGGCUUAAUACAUGCAAGUCGAGGGGCAGCACAGAUAGCAAUAUUGGGUGGCGACCGGCAAACGGGUGCGGAACACGUACACAACCUUCCUUUUGGUGGGGGAUAGCCUUUGGAAACGGAGAUUAAUACCCCAUAAGAUAUUGUGACCGCAUGGUUAUGAUAUUAAAGAUUUAUUGCCAGAAGAUGGGUGUGCGUAUGAUUAGGUAGUUGGUGAGGUAAAGGCUCACCAAGCCGACGAUCAUUAACUGGUGUGAGAGCACGACCAGUCAAACGGGCACUGAGACACGGGCCCGACUCCUACGGGAGGCAGCAGUAAGGAAUAUUGGUCAAUGGACGGAAGUCUGAACCAGCCAUGCCGCGUGGAGGAUGAAGGUCCUCUGGAUUGUAAACUUCUUUUAUAUGGGGCGAAAAAGGGCCAUUCUUGGUCAACUGACGGUACCAUAUGAAUAAGCACCGGCUAACUCCGUGCCAGCCGCCGCCGUAACAC